GGGUCAAUGGUCUAGUGGUAUGAUUCCUGCUUUGGGAGCAGGAGGCCCUGGGUUCAAUUCCCAGUUGACCCC
rfam:Brettanomyces bruxellensis AWRI1499 AWRI1499_contig3205_scaffold84, whole genome shotgun sequence.